AAUUAGAUUUUCUAAGGCAUGAGCAACCUCUCCCAAGAAGCAGGCCACAUGAGAUAUGACUCAUCAUCAGG